CCUACGGGUGGCAGCAGUGAGGAAUAUUGGGCAAUGGGCGCGAGCCUGAAGCAGCCAAGCAGCGUGAAGGAUGACGGCCCGAUGGGUGGUAAACUUCUUUUAUAUGGGAAUAAAGUGCAGUAUGUAUACCGCUUUGCAUGUACCUUAUGAAUAAGGAUCGGCUAACUCCGUGCCAGCAGCCGCGGUAAUACGGAGGGUCCGAGCGUUAUCCGGAUUUAUUGGGUUUAAAGGGAGCGUAGGCGGGUUGUUAAGUCAGUUGUGAAAGUUUGCGGCUCAACCGUAAAAUUGCAGUUGAUACUGGCAUCCUGGAGUGCAGUAGAGGUAGGCGGAAUUCGUGGUGUAGCGGUGAAAUGCUUAGAUAUCACGAAGAACUCCGAUUGCGAAGGCAGCCUGCUGGACUGUAACUGACGCUGAUGCUCGAAAGUGUGGGUAUCAAACAGGAUUAGAUACCCCAGUAGUC
rnacentral:rRNA from 1 species